rnacentral:rRNA from 1 species
GACGAACCGUGCGAACGUUGUUCGGAAUCAAUGGGCUUAAAGGGCGCGUAGGCGGCGCCACAAGUCACUUGUGAAAACUCUGGGCUCAACUCAGAGCCUGCAAGCGAAACUGUGGUGCUGGAGUAUGGGAGAGGUGCGUGGAAUUCCCGGUGUAGCGGUGAAAUGCGUAGAUAUCAGGAGGAACACCGGUGGCGAAGGCGGGUCUCUGGGCCGAUACUGACGCUGAGGAGCGAAAGCGUGGGGAGCGAACAGG